GAGGGUAUAGCUCAAGAGGUAGAGCAUAUGCUUAGCUUAGCAUGCAGGAGAUCCUGGGUUCAAUCCCCAGUACCUCCU
rnacentral:tRNA from 1 species